rnacentral:rRNA from 1 species
AACGAACGCUGGCGGCAGGCUUAACACAUGCAAGUCGAACGCCCCGCAAGGGGAGUGGCAGACGGGUGAGUAACGCGUGGGAACAUACCCUUUCCUGCGGAAUAGCUCUGGGAAACUGGAAUUAAUACCGCAUACGCCCUACGGGGGAAAGAUUUAUCGGGGAAGGAUUGGCCCGCGUUGGAUUAGCUAGUUGGUGGGGUAAAGGCCUACCAAGGCGACGAUCCAUAGCUGGUCUGAGAGGAUGAUCAGCCACAUUGGGACGGAGACACGGCCCAAACUCCUACGGGAGGCAGCAGUGGGGAAUAUUGGACAAUGGGCGCAAGCCUGAUCCAGCCAUGCCGCGUGAGUGAUGAAGGCCUUAGGGUUGUAAAGCUCUUUCACCGAUGCAGAUAAUGACGGUAGUCGGAGAAGAGGCCCCGGCUAACUUCGUGCCAGCCGCCGCCGUAAAAC